rnacentral:rRNA from 1 species
AGUUCGGAUUGAAGGCUGAAAUUCGCCUUCCAUGAAGCUGGAAUUGCUAGUAAUGGCAGGUCAGCAUACUGCCGUGAAUACGUUCCCGGGCCUUGUACACACCGCCCGUCACACCAUGAGAGUUGGGAAUACCCGAAGCCUGUGAGCUAACUUAUAGAGGCAGCAGUCGAAGGUAGAAUCAAUGAUUGGGGUGAAGUCGUAACAAGGUACC